AAAGGUGGGGUUCUCUCCCUUUUUCCACCGCCGCCGACGCCAACGGUUGUGCCAUCGCCCAAACCAGCCGGCCACUGAAGGAGCUCCUCCGGUCAGCUGGCGCCGGCAGCCACUUCUAGCCGGACUUCGACCGCCGGACAGCAAGGUGAAAACUUCUCCUUGCUCUUGACGUACGUGUGUCGCCACUGUCGAACUCUACCGCUGACCAAGAACAGUUGUGUCGGUUGUGAGGUUCCCGUGAGUUGCCGGUUGCUCGAAAGUGAACAACAACUCCUUACCUUAUUUGUGUCGUCGGGCUGCUUCGGCCGCCGGACAUAAAUCUAGUCGUGAUCUCUCUCAGGUCAUUCUGUCUUCGCACAGGCUAGAGAGCUUUCGUGAAUAUGGAACUCGGACUUUGUGAAGUCAUAUUGGCGUGGAUACAAAGAGAGACAACACUCGAGAGCAUUACUUUGGUUGAUUCAAUUUCACUCCUCAUUGAUUAACUGUUUGCUCGUUGAUUCCGAAGGAGGCUUGCCUUAUGAGUUGGGCAAGUGGAGCACUAGAUCCUGAAAGCACAGCAUCAACUGACAUUGUUACAUCAGUAAAGAGAGGUGUCUGGGCGAUGAUUGCUGUCUUUUUAGCCUAUUCCUUGCUGCAAGCACCUUCAACGUAAGCUAUGGCUUCCAUUUUUGAGAGCUCAGAACUUAUAACUUUAUGAUGUAGAUGCAUGUAUCUCAGCAUUAUACAAGGUCAUUCGAGAGCAUUUGUUGCUUUGUAUCUGGAAUAAUUUCCCCAUCAAGAAUUGCAAUAAUGCAGUUUUUC